rnacentral:lncRNA from 1 species
GAGGGAGGGGAGAGGAGAGGAGGGAGAAGGAAAUGACAGAGAGAGAGAGAGAGAGAGAGAGAGAGAGAGAAAGGAGAGAGAGAACGCAGAGGGAGGGAGGCAGGGAGGGAGACCAAACCCCCGCUUUACUGCGUUGAAAGCUUCUGAAUUUCAAGCAGAAAGUAGAAGGAGCUCCAAAGGCAGUGAGCGUCUUUCCUUGGGCUGCGUGUGCCGAGCGUAGACAAUGAAAAUCUUCAUCCCCCUCCCCCAUUCCACUAGGCUACAAGAUUCUUGUUUUCGUUCCUUCUCACCGGUGGAAGAUGUGUAAAAUCAAAGAUGUAGAGGUGUGUAGUGAUUUUUUUAAAAGCCAACUAACCCACCGCACGGGCUGCGACGCGGAUUACCCGAGCGCACGCCGGCUGGGCGCAUUCUGGGGUCUCUGCGCAAGACCAGCUCUCAGCUCUCUCUCCUUUCCUCGGACUCUGGAGCGGGAGCGGGCCUUUCCCUCGGGUCGACCACGCCGUAGGGGACGCCGUGAAAAGAGCCGUCGCGCCCGCUGCCUCCUGCCCGCUGCGCAGAGGGCUCCGCCCGUAGAGGUCAACUUCCCUCACCCUUUUCUGUCUCCUGCUCGCCCUCCCUCCGCCCGGCCCAGGCGCUUGCAGCCCCAGACUGUGGCCACUGGCUGAGGAGUGCGAGUCGGCUGCGCUGCCCUGAGCCUAAUCCCUCUUCCGGGCCCAGACCCGAGGUCCGCGCUCCUGGGCAGUGGGGAAGCUUUAGUGAGCAGGCUUUUCUCUCCGCAGCAAACUCGUAGCCAGACCAGAUGGGCCGCCCAGCUCUCUCGGGACUAGGCAGGUGCGGUUGAGUUAAUUUUUCCGCAUUACAAAGAAAGAUGACCCAGCCCGCCCUUGGACUCUCUUUUCCCAAAAUCUCCCAACCAAACCCGCGGUAACGUUAUCAAAGGACACAGAGCCCAGGCAUAUCUGUGUGUUUAUCUUACAGGCACACAAGCAAGGUUUUCUCUUUUAUAUGCUAGAUUUCAUCCCUGACAGCAGAAAAUGAUUGGCAACGGUUCUGACGGAGAACAUGCAAUAGCGUGGUCCUUAAAAACCUGCCAUUCCUUACAAGUGCCUUAGAAAGGAUUCAGGGCGAACCAACUGGGUUAAUUGCAUUCAGUAAAAUAACACGAUUACAAAAUUAGAUCUGUA